rnacentral:pre_miRNA from 1 species
UGAAACUUCGCUGGAACAGGCCGGGUGACCCGAGCUGUUCACGAAGUUUUA